rnacentral:lncRNA from 1 species
GGCGGGGGGGCGGCGGCGAGAAGCCCUCCCCUCUGCCCGGCGCCCCCCCCCGGCUGCGCCGCCCGCCCGGCGCCCCCCGCCGCCCGGCAGCAGCGCCUCCGACCCGCCACCCAUCGCUGGAUGUUCCUCCACUUUACCCACCGUAUCAAACAACUUUUACCAGUAAAUAUCGGUUUAUUCCUGAAACCAGAAGCCCUAAACAUACCUUUGUUUAUAAGUUUUCCUGCUCUGCAUCUCUGGGAACUGGAGCCCGCAGGACCUAGAGCCUUCUGUUGCCUGGGUGGUUCUGAUUGCUGGCAGUUCUGUAAUACAACUUUAAUCUGAGCAAUUGAGGCUGGUCCUACAUUAUCUUCAGACGUCUUGCGGAGGACUCCUGUUACCAGUUUGGUACUCAAAAGCUACACCCCACCAUCAGAAGUCACUUACUUUUUUUUCAAAGGCAGUGAUAGAUUACCCUCUCUAGCUCUAAUGGAAAAA